AUUUGACGUUAGCGACAGAAGAAGCACCGGCUAACUCCGUGCCAGCAGCCGCGGUAAUACGGAGGGUGCGAGCGUUAAUCGGAAUUACUGGGCGUAAAGCGCAUGCAGGUGGUUUGUUAAGUUCAGAUGUGAAAGACCCGGGGCGUCAACCUCGGAAUAGCAUUUGAAACUGGCAGACUAGAGUACUGUAGAGGGGGGUAGGAAUUUCAGGUGUAGCGGUGAAAUGCGUAGAGAUCUGAAGGAAUACCGGUGGCGAAGGCGGCCCCCUCGGACAGAUACUGACACUCAGAUGCGAAAGCGUGGGGAGCAAACAGGAUUAGAUACCCCUGGUAG
rnacentral:rRNA from 1 species